CCCACCCUCUCCACCUCCCCUUCUCCCCCAACCCCCAGUAGCACCCAGGCCCAACAUCACAUGCGGCGGCCAGAUCCCAGAUCCAGCACGCCGGCCUGUGCCUCGCCGGAGGCGCACACGUGAAGUGAGGAGGGCUGCCCGCGUGCACACGCCAUGGACCUCCGUCACGGGACGCCGACGCGUCUUGUCUGCCCGGCCGCGUCACCAGACGGCUGCCUGCUCCCUGCCGACGCCAUCCCGUGCUCGGGAUGCCGCGCCUACCACGCCCCGACGACGCUCCUCCAGGUGUGCGCAUCGGACACCACCGGCGCCCAAUCCUAGCCGCAGCGCACACCAUCCUUGUUGCUCAUGGCCGAACCAAACACGAUUGGCUGCCAGAACCAGCUCCCUCGCUCGCUCCAUGGUUCCCGCAUCGGUGGUGGUUCCUCUCCUCUCCUCUCUCACCCUCACGCUCUCUGUGCUUGAGUUUUGAAGCUCUAGUAUGCUUAGAGUGACUGGUUUCAUUAGUCUCUUAAUCGACAAGUUAACUGGACUAUUUUGUUGUAUUUCCAUCAUACACCUUUGAUUUAUUUAGUGACUGUAGACUGUGAUUAUACAGUAGAAGUAGUUAGUAUCUUUGUAGACUGCAUAUUAUACAGUAUAAGUAGUUAGCCAAUUUCUAGGGGCUGUCUGUUCACCUGUUAGUAUCUCUGUAGACUGUACAUGCUUCAAAUGGGGAUGUCUUUUAUGCUCCCUUGAAUGCAUUUUGAUCUUAGUAGUACUUACCACAUAGUAACAAAAUAAGCAGCAGCCUGAGCUUUCAGGUUCAGGGUUUCUCUUGAUACAUACUAGCAAGCAUGAACAUGAAGCUGCAAUUUUUCCUGAUCCUCCAAAGACAGAUGCUGAUCUUUGUCUGCGCAUUUCGCUACUUUUACGCCUUCUGAUUUGGUUUGGCAUCCUGAAAGAGGCAAUGCCAAUUGGAUCGGAUGGUGACACGGUCAUGAUCUCCGUGAUGUCAUUCAUAGUUGCGUCCUUUGGAUACAACAAUGCUUAGCUUGAGACCUUGUUUGCUGAUCAUAACCAUCUGUGUGGAAAAUCAGCAGAUUGAUGCUCGUAUGCAUAGUUUCCCUAGGCAUUCGACAAAAGCAUCUCGUUGCUGUGUGCGCUGAUAAACCUGCAACUGUUUUCUGUAGCUUAUCUAUUGAGUUAGAUACACCUGCAACUGUUUAUUGCUGUCAAAUUAGGCUUUGGGGCACACCUUCUGUUCGAUAGUAUAUAGCUUACCUUAUGACAGAAUGUGAAACAACUUUGCUAAUGUGGUACAAGCUAGCCAUCAGCAUGUAUCUCUGGAUUAUUGGUUUAGUGUUACAUUUUCAGCUAUGUUCUUGUUAGACUGAUGCGCCUUGUUGCAACAGCCAAUCUGUUGUUUCUGACUAAGAAAUGUUCAGCCAAUCUAAAAAGCACGGACACGCCAGAAUCAGCCGAACUGCCGUCCUGAUACGGCGGGAUACGGGGAUACGCCGGGAUACGCUGGGAUACGCGAACUAAGCCGUGUCCCACGAAUUUCGAUUAAUAAUAAGGAAAAAAUUACAGGGAUACGGUGGGACACGUCUGGGACACGAUUGGGACACGGCCCAGCCCAAAACCAGCCUCGGUCCAACCCAAUACGAAACCCUAUAUGUCUCCCGCACCUUCUCUGUCAUGAGAACGAGGUGCUCCCUCCCAGGUCGUACUGCACGAGCCGCCGCCUCCUGGAUCGACGCCGCCGCCGGCGACGCCUGGAUUCGGCGACCGCUAGCCCCAGCACCAGCAGCCUUUACUCGCAGAUGGAUGCAGCUUGCAAUGACAACAUGGCAUGGGGGGAUGAGGAUCAAUCAAGCACUUGGCAAAAAAGAUUUCUUUCUUAUUAAUUUUCUGUCUUAACUUAAUAUUACAUGCCAUAUUUUUAUUUUAUUAUAUAUAUACUCGCCGUAUCCCCGAAUGGCUGUUUUGGGAAAAUGCCGUAUGCCGUAUCCCCGUAUGCGUAUCCCCGUCUUUCCGUCCCCGUGUCUGUGCUUCUUAGCAGCCAAUUACCUCUUUAUAACUAAUUACACUGAAGUAUGCAAAAAAGAAGAUAGUACGCCUCCCAUCCCAUGAUACUCAUUUUAGUGCAGAAGAUGGAAAUUAUGUGCUUUGAUAGAACACGGGAACUAAUCAAAUGCAGAAGAGUUGUUUCAGUUUGAGUUCUGUUUGAAAUGUUGCAACUUCAGAAUUCUGGGAACUUUCCAUAAAGUUUGCAUCAGUUUAGUGGGUUCACCUAUAUUAUGUUGUUGGAAGCUAGUUCAUGAUGAACUGAUUUAACUCUCUCUACUGAAAUAUUAGUUUUUUAAUGGGAGGAAUAUAGUGUAUUAGAUGAUGUAAAUUUGUUUGGGUUCAGACCUAUGCUUCCUCCACUGUUUUGUAGAGUUGGCUAAUUUUAGAUGCUGCAUAAUAACCUUUAAGGCUGUGGCCAAUUUUAGAUUCUGCAUAAUAAUCUUUGUACUGCAUAAUAAAAAAUUGCAGUACCGAAGAUGAAUGGUUGAUUAGUUUUAGCUUCAAGCCAUUUUAGUAUAUUCUUUGUACAUGUGGCCUGUGGAUAUAACUAGUUUGCUAUAGUUCAUCCGUGAUGUGCGGUAGCUAUGAGAUCCGAGGGAUGCCGACCAUUCGAGCCACGUAACUUAUUCAGCUUUCACUCUACAAUCUUGCUAAUUUAAAGUCAGUGGGGGCUUUCCCCCACUGUCCAUAGUUCCUAAAAAAACUUAUUCAUCUUUGGCCAUCCUCAUUUGCUAUGCUAGGUAUAGUGUAAACUCUCUUCUGAAUUUGAUUUGUACCAGUUUGACUUUCCUAAGUUUCUUUUCUUGUUAGCAGAGCUUACACUAUCUUUCUAUGGGCGUCGCCGGAUUUGAGAGUGGAGCCCGAGCCUCCACUGGAGCAUGGAUCAGCCGUGCAGGAGGUGGAGCUCCGCAUGGAUCAUGACUUGGUCAUCGUGGGGGCCUGGACCAUCAAGCUCGCGGGCGAGAUGGACGGCCUCGGCAAUGGAGGCGCGCGUGAGAUCCUGGGGUUGACCAAUCCACGGGGCGCCAGAUCUUCCCUCGGGUCGCCUGCUGUAGUCAUACUGUCACUGGAUCUCCUCCCCCCCUCUCUCUAUGUUUUUCUGUCAAUAGCUAGUAGCAUAUGUUGGAGCUGGCUGUACCUGGAACUUAAUCUGCAUUUAUUCAACUAGAUCAAGUACAAGUACAUUAGUUCGUAAUCUGCUAUUAAUACAUCUCCUAGUCAUAAAUUUCCUGAAGUAGUGCAUGUAUACAUUUAGGUGCUGGUUAAUUAGAAAAUGGAUGUGAUUUCUAACUUGAUUGUUGUAGGCUACAAGAUAUAACUCUGUUGGUUCAUCUUGCUGUAGAAUAUGCCCCUGUUCAUUCAUUUAUUUGUAUUGCUAUUUACCUCUGGUGACAUGUGUGAAGCACUCAUCUAUAUGUUUAUAUUUUGAGCAGCUGGGUACAACUACAGUUGCAGAAUCAUCUAGCCAAAUUUUGGGAGGAUGGCAUAAAAGAUUAGAUAACCCAUUCUUUUGAAAUCAUGGUAUUCUAUUUAUCCUCCAUUCUGAAAUCUAUUGUGCACUGCCAAGUCCAUGAGGCGAAGCGCUCACUGCUCGACUAUUUCUUUACUGAACUGGGAGCAACAAAGGCAAGAUAUUCGAAACAAGCUGAAGUCCUUUUGAUUCUUGACUAGCAAAAGAGUCCGUGCGUUGCACCGGGCAAAAAAAGAGAAACAACCAGCUUCAUAUUCCAUUGUGCACCAUUUUAUAUAUCCGAUUUUAUUAAACAUCAAUAAUAAUAAGGUAAAACUGAUUAUUACUUUUUGUACAAUCAAAUCUUCAUCAGAUGGAAGAGCAGUUUUGCAUGGAAUA